GACGAACGCUGGCGGCGUGCUUAACACAUGCAAGUCGAACGGAAAGGCCCUGCUUUUGUGGGGUGCUCGAGUGGCGAACGGGUGAGUAACACGUGAGUAACCUGCCCUUGACUUUGGGAUAACUUCAGGAAACUGGGGCUAAUACCGGAUAGGAGCUCCUGCUGCAUGGUGGGGGUUGGAAAGUUUCGGCGGUUGGGGAUGGACUCGCGGCUUAUCAGCUUGUUGGUGGGGUAGUGGCUUACCAAGGCUUUGACGGGUAGCCGGCCUGAGAGGGUGACCGGCCACAUUGGGACUGAGAUACGGCGCAGACUCCAACGGGAGGCAGCAGUGGGGAAUAUUGCACAAUAGGCGGAAGUGUGAUGCAGCAACGCCGCGUGCGGGAUGACGGCCUUCGGGUUGUAAACCGCUUUCGCCUGUGACAAAGCGGGAGUGACGGUAAUGGGUAAAGAAGCACCGGCUAACUACGUG
rnacentral:rRNA from 1 species